AGAGUUUGAUCCUGGCUCAGAUUGAACGCUGGCGGAAUGCUUUACACAUGCAAGUCGAACGGCAGCACGGGGCAACCUGGUGGCGAGUGGCGAACGGGUGAGUAAUACAUCGGAACGUGCCCAAUCGUGGGGGAUAACGUAGCGAAAGUUACGCUAAUACUGCAUACGAUCUACGGAUGAAAGCGGGGAUCGCAAGACCUCGCGCGAAUGGAGCGGCCGAUGUCAGAUUAGGUAGUUGGUGGGGUAAAGGCUCACCAAGCCAACGAUCUGUAGCUGGUCUGAGAGGACGACCAGCCACACUGGAACUGAGACACGGCCCAGACUCCUACGGGAGGCAGCAGUGGGGAAUUUUGGACAAUGGGCGCAAGCCUGAUCCAGCCAUUCCGCGUGCAGGAUGAAGGCCUUCGGGUUGUAAACUGCUUUUGUACGGAACGAAACGGUCCGCCCUAAUACGGUGGGCUAAUGACGGUACCGUAAGAAUAAGCACCGGCUACCUACGUG
rnacentral:rRNA from 1 species